rnacentral:rRNA from 1 species
AGUAGUCUCGCACAGAUGCAUAUCAAUAAGCGGAGGAAAAGAAACUAACAAGGAUUCCCUCAGUAACGGCGAGUGAAGCGGGAAGAGCUCAAAUUUGAAAUCUUGAAAGGUCUACCUUGCACGAAUUGUAGUUUAAAGAAGUGUUUUCUGUUGACGAUCUGGUAAUAUAAGUUCUUUGGAAUAGGACAUCACUAGAGGGUGAGAAUCCCGUAUUUGACCAUUAUUUUCAGCUGUGUGAUACACUUUCAAAGAGUCGGAUUGUUUGGGAAUGCAGUCCAAAAUGGGAUGGUAAAUUUCAUCUAAGGCUAAAUAUUGGCGAGAGACCGAUAGCGAACAAGUACUGUGAGGGAAAGAUGAAAAGAACUUUGAAAAGAGAGUUAAAUAGUACGUGAAAUUGUCAAAAGGGAAGCGUUUAACACCAGCGUUGUUUUCUGAAAAUCAACCUCUGUUAGCUUUAUGCAUGUUUGUUUAGACCUAAUCAGCCUAUCUUGCAUGUUCUAUUGUUUGCAGUGGUGCACUUUUCAGUUUACAGGUCAACAUCAGUUUUUUUUACCGUAAAAAAGUUAAAGAAAGGUAGCUCAUGGCUCCGGUCGUGAGUGUUAUAGUCUUUUUCCUAUGCGGUAGGAGAGACUGAGGUCUGCAGUGUAGGCUAUUUGGCUAGAUACUCAGGUGCUAUGUGAUACCAUUUCAUAAACAACUUGUUGAUUAUGUUUUGUCUAUUGCAUACUCGCUUGUACUAUCAUACCUACGCUUAGGAUGUUGAAGAUGUAGCACAUCAU